AGGACUAACGCUGGCGGCGUGCCUAACACAUGCAAGUCGAACGAGGGGUAGCAAUACCCCUAGUGGCAGACGGGUGAGUAACACGUAGUCAACCUACCUCUUAAUGGGGGAUAACUAGCCGAAAGGUUAGCUAAUACCGCAUACGAUCGUCGAGUGGCAUCACACGACGAUGAAAGGAGCAAUCCGUUGAGAGAGGGGACUGCGUCCCAUUAGUUAGUUGGUGGGGUAACGGCCUACCAAGACUCCGAUGGGUAGCUGGCUUGAGAGAGCGACCAGCCACACUGGAACUGAGACACGGUCCAGACUCCUACGGGAGGCAGCAGUGAGGAAUUUUCCGCAAUGGGGGAAACCCUGACGGAGCGACGCCGCGUGUGGGAAGAAGGCCUUCGGGGUCGUAAACCACUGUCGAGGGGGACGAAGAUCUGACGGUACCUCGAAAGGAGCACCGGCUAACUCUGCGCCAGCAGCCGC
rnacentral:rRNA from 1 species